GAUGCGGCGGCCGAACACCGCGCUGGGAGGCGAUGGAGAAGGGGACUGACGGGACCGAAAGCCUGGCCGCUGGGCUUGCAGGUGCAGACUGACAGCGGCGAGUCGGUCUGGAGGAAGGCGGAGAAGGUCCAUGAGGGGAGGGCCAGGGCGACGGGGCCUUGGCGUCCAGGACUGAGAGGCGGAGGCGGCAAGGACGUGGAGACGAGAGGAACGGACCUUGGAUUCCUUUGCUCACUGGGAAGGAGUUUGAGGGUUGCUGCCAGAAGCCGAGGCGUGGGAGAAGAUGGCCAUGUGUAGGCACCUGGGCCCGGCAGAAGGGCAGAAGGAAGGUCUGAGAAGGCCAUCAGGGCUCCUCGGGUUCCUGCCAGCUCUUCAGAAGUGGGAUCCUGGAGGAGCCACAGGAAGCCUCUGUUGGUGGCCAGCAGUGUGGAGCACCGAGUGAUGGGACACAGAGAAAAGACUACCUGCUGUAAGCAAAGCACUUGGGUACAAGGCACAUCGAAGCUGUCAAGCUCUAUCGGGAUCUACUGAGA